GUUGACACGCCGAUGUGAUGUGACUGCAAUCUCAUUCUUUACGGCCUGCCAAGGUUGUUAACUGGAUCAAUCUUAGCCCAUGAGAUGAUGCAUGCAUGGAUGCGACUUCAAGGUUUCCGGACUCUUAGUCAGGAUGUUGAGGAGGGUAUUUGUCAAGUGUUAGCACACAUGUGGUUACUUACCCAGCUCGAAUCUGCUUCAAGCAGCAAUGCUCCACGGUCUUCUUCGUCUGCUUCGAGUGGUAGAUUAAAAAGGGCAAAAGAUCUCAAUUUGAUAGGAAGCUUGGGGAGUUCUUCAAGCACCAAAUUGAACCAGAUGCUUCCCCUGUAUAUGGAGAUGGUUUCAGAGUAGGUCAUCGGGCAGUUUAUAAAUACGGUCUUGGAAGAACCCUUGAACAUAUUCGGGUGACCGG